AUUGAACGCUGGCGGCAGGCUUAACACAUGCAAGUCGAACGAGUGGCGGACGGGAGAGUAAUGCUUGGGCAUCUAGCUAAUGGAGGGGGAUAACUAUGGGAAACUGUAGCAAAUACCGCGCAACAGAGGAUGAGCUCAAGUGUGAUUGGGUAGUUGGUGAGGUAAAGGCUCACCAAGCCGACGAGCUCUAGCUGGUCUGAGAGGGUGACCGGCCACACGUGGACUGAGACACGGCCCAGACUCCUGCGGGAGGCAGCAGUGGGGAAUAUUGCGCAAUGGGGGCAACCUGACGCAGCCAUGCCGCGUGAAUGAAGAAGGCCUUCGGGUUGUAAAGUUCUUUCGGUAGCGAGGCGUUAACUACAGAAGAAGCACCGGCUAACUCCGUGCCAGCAGCCGCGGUAAUAC
rnacentral:rRNA from 1 species